rnacentral:lncRNA from 1 species
UUCUCUGUGUCAUUAGGUGUAAACAUUUUCUUUUCUUUUUAGGCAUGCGUCCCUGAGGAUUGGCUCACAAUCCAACAAUUGAAUAUCAAGAUGAAACACUGAAGGGCAGGGGAUUUAGCUCAGUGGUUCUGGUGUCUCACAAGUGCAAGGCCCUGAGUUCAAUCCUCCACAAAAAGAAAAGAAAAGAAAAGAAAAAAAGAUGAAUCACUGGAGUGAGAAUGCUACAUGAAGAAGAGAAGAACUGAGAACCCCUGGGAGUUGAUUUCUGGAAAAGAGCAGCUGCCUAUUAUAGGAGGAAUUGCUAACAAUUCAACACAAAAGGCAAGACCAUGGAGGUGGACUUUCCAAGUUGAUGCAGUGUGAAAAGAGCAAGGACAGGCCACUUCCAGGUGGUGUACCAGUACCAACACACAUAUUUGCUCUAGAUCUCAGAUGCGCCCUAUUAUCUGGAGUACAUCAGCUCUACAUAAAAAAUGGAGGACCAAGAACAGUUAAAAGGAGGAAACACGAGAUGGAAUGCUGCAUGAAGGACAAUAAUGAUGGGAAGACUUGGUUGUGUGGAAAUUGAGCUCUUCAAAAGCUGCUUGCUGAGGGU